rnacentral:rRNA from 1 species
UCCUCCCUCUGUCGGCGUGCUUAACACAUGCAAGUCGAACGGAAAGGCCCUGCUUUUGUGGGGUGCUCGAGUGGCGAACGGGUGAGUAACACGUGAGUAACCUGCCCUUGACUUUGGGAUAACUUCAGGAAACUGGGGCUAAUACCGGAUAGGAGCUCCUGCUGCAUGGUGGGGGUUGGAAAGUUUCGGCGGUUGGGGAUGGACUCGCGGCUUAUCAGCUUGUUGGUUGGGUAGUGGCUUACCAAGGCUUUGACGGGUAGCCGGGCUGAGAGGGUGACCGGCCACAUUGGGACUGAGAUACGGCACAGACUACUACGGGAGGCAGCAGUGCGGAAUAUUGCACAAUGGGCGGAAGCCUGAUGCAGCACCGCCGCGUGCGGGAUGACGGCCUUCGGGUUGUAAUCCGCUUUCGCCUGUGACGAAGCGUGAGUGACGGUAAUGGGUAAAGAAGCACCGGCUAACUACGUG